rnacentral:rRNA from 1 species
UACGUAGGGGGCUAGCGUUGUCCGGAUUCAUUGGGCGUAAAGCGCACGUAGGCGGCUUUCUAAGUCAGGGGUGAAAUCCUGGAGCUCAACUCCAGAACUGCCUUUGAUACUGGAGAGCUUGAGUCCGGAAGAGGUGAGUGGAACUCCGAGUGUAGAGGUGAAAUUCGUAGAUAUUCGGAAGAACACCAGUGGCGAAGGCGGCUCACUGGUCCGGUACUGACGCUGAUGUGCGAAAGCGUGGGGAGCAAACAGG